CCUAGCUCUUUGGUUUGUCCUCUAUAAUUUGAUUUUGUAGAAUGGAUACGCAUUGAUUUGUGCUUUUAUGAUGACAAUCUGUUUCGUUUCUUCUUUUUGUCUGUCAGAUUCUUGAAGCACUUACAACUUUAAGAUCAUGUGAAAAGUUUUCUAUGGAACGUAUUGAGUUGCUGGGAGAUUCUGUUUUGACAAUCUGUUUCGUUUCUUCUUUUUGUCUGACAGAAGAAAUGUUUGGAGGAGACGACGAAGAUGAUGAUGGUGAUGAUUCUUCUGUGUUUCUCAUGAGAAUAAGAGGAAACAUGAUGAGAAGAAGAGUGAAAGGAAGGCAACCAAGGGUGGCAAAAAGGUAAUUGCUCGAAGAGUAGCCAAGGGUCGGUUUAGGAUUACAGCUUAGUGUCAUUGACUUUAAAGUUAACGAUUCAAUGUAGCACCUUAGUGCACUUCAUGAUAAGAAACUUCAGUGGAACAGGGCGAACAGGCUGGGGGGUUUCUGAGUACAGUAUUCUAUAAACCAUUUUCCAGGCAGCUAUUGUAUGGAUAUGUUAUGAAUUCAUUUAUUGGCUUUUUGGCAUCGCGGUCAGUUUCAAUAAUAUGUAACCCUUACUGUUUUAUGUCCAAGACACCUUAAAGAUUUAGGUGUGGUUGAUUUACUAAAUGUGAAGUUUGAUAGAAUGGAAUUUCUUAUUUUAAGCCAUGUCCAUUCACAUUUCUUAUAUUUAGUAUUAGUAGGUUUUUUAGAGGUAAAAUGUGGUUCAUGCCAAUUCUCCUAUUGAAGAAGGAUGACUUGAAUGUACAAGGAAAUGCAAAUUAAAGAUGUGA